rnacentral:lncRNA from 1 species
GACACUUUUUACAUUAUUUAAGGUUUUAUCUGUAUUUUAUAUCAGAUAUCACUGCUGUAGCUACAUACCUCUCUCUUUAGCUUUCUCAUCAGACUGAGGGAGAGAAGCUAACCCGCUAAUCAGCUCUUAAAGUGACUGAGCUGUUUUUAAUUUCAUGUUUCAAAUCACAUCAAGUUUUACUCAUUUUAAGAAAAAAGAAAAUAUAAUAAUUUAACAUGAAGCAGAUUUAUAUAUUAUAAAAUAAAUAUUAAAAACUAUGUUUUGACUGUAUUAGCACAGAGUUCACUAAUGCUAGGCUAGUUAGCAGGGCUGUAUUACCCAUUACUCUGCAUUUCUGAAGAAAAUACAGCUUUAUGAGAGUAAAAGGGUUCAAUAAUGUGUACAGUGACCUCUCAAUCACACAGUCUGGACAGAUCUUCAGUUUCAUACAAGACUACCUUCAGUACAAGUCUGGUAAAGGUGUGUGUUUUGGGUUACAUUUGAUGUAUGUUAGUGUGUACUGUAUGUAGUGAAUUGCUUCAUUUGACCAGCCUCUAAUCUCUUUGAAUAGGAAGAAACCAAAAUACUGGAAACUGAAGGUCAAAUUCCUGUUUCCAAAUCAAGUUUUAAUUCACUGAACAAAUCUGGUUAAAACCGUAUGAACAGUUUGUAGCAUUUGGAUUUCAAUGAUGCACAAAAAGUACUGCACUUGUGCAGAUUUCCUUAUCAAGGAGGGUGUUCCCCUUUAGCAUGUUGAACCUCCUCCACUCGCGGCAGAAGCAGCAAGAUGAUUGGUUCAAAUUGUUGAAAGGUGGAGCUUUAUUAGUAAACAGAUGCCAUGAUGAACCUGUCGAGAAUUUUUAACCAAUGACUUGUUUCCUCACUUAAUAAUGCUGUCUCUACAUGAGUUCUAGAGUUUUCUAAAAAAAUUCCCUGUUUUUUUCUCUCUAUAGAAUCACUUGGUCUGAGUUGCUAUAGUGGCGGGAGCUUCUUUGUCUUCCUCAAGAGCUUCUUCCUCAGUUUUGGGUUUCCUGACCUGAGUGGAGUUCUGUCCAUCAUCCCG